rfam:Myotis davidii contig147315, whole genome shotgun sequence.
GGCAGUUCUUGGGUAAUGCACCCAGAAUUAGGCUCCCUCCUGCCUGAUUCCGGGGGGUGUCCCGAGAACCACU